AUUGAACGCUGGCGGAAUGCUUUACACAUGCAAGUCGAACGGUAGAGGGGGCAACCCCUCGAGAGUGGCGAACGGGUGAGUAAUAUAUCGGAACGUGCCCAGUCGUGGGGGAUAACGUAGCGAAAGGUACGCUAAUACCGCAUACGAUCUAAGGAUGAAAGCGGGGGAUCGCAAGACCUCGCCCGAUUGGAGCGGCAGAUAUCGGAUUAGGUAGUUGGGGGGGUAAAGGCUCACCAAGCCAACGAUCUGGAGCUGGUCUGAGAGGACGACCAGCCACACUGGAACUGAGACGCGGUCCAGACUCCUACGGGAGGCAGCAGUGGGGAAUUUUGGACAAUGGACGCAAGUCUGAUCCAGCCAUUCCGCGUGCAGGAUGAAGGCCCUCGGGUUGUAAACUGCUUUUGUACGGAACGAAAAGGUCUCUCUUAAUACGGGGGGCUCAUGACGGUACCGUAAGAAUAAGCACCGGCUAACUACGUGCCAGCCGCCGCGGUAA
rnacentral:rRNA from 1 species